UAGUCAUUUGGGAAAAACACUUGUGACGCGGCCGACAUAAAAAAGGGGAUAAACAUUAAAUGUACAACGAACUUAUAAGUAACUAUACUGCUGCUCUGCAUAUUCAUAGGACUCGUUUCCGAGAAAUACCCUGUUUUGAUAGAGCACAAUAGAUACAUAGAUACGUAUAUAGCAGACUCGCAACAAAAAGAUACUCGGAAGAAUAUGUAAAUAUUUUGCAGACAAGCACAUCCCCUUUGUUUAUAUGUGAUCGGAUAAAUAUUUGCCGGCAGUCAAGAAGCUGAGGCGCACUGUGAUCUAAUAUAAUCAAGCCUUAAUGUGCAAAUUCAACUCACCGCGCUUGUGCGGGUGUAAAAAACGGUCGUGUCCGAGUCAUGCAGUCAUAAAACACCAAAAACUAAAUAAGGCAAGUCGAGUUUAAUACCAAAACCACCCCCCCACCCCUCACCCGUUGCUCGGUCACAUAAAAACUACCCACCAUCGAUCGAGAAAUAAACCUGUAGUCCAAUCCAACAGACAGCUGGUGGUGAUGAUCUCAAUGUGCCCGACGACGACGUCUGAUUUGUGGAAUCAUCGCAGCAACUAAGAAGAUCUUAAACGCCCGACUUCGCAGUUCGCGGGUUCAACGCUUCCUAAGGCGAUAUCUACUGUGCAGCGCGUGAACCGAAAGAAAUUGGACUAGAUUACAGCUUUCUCCCAUCAAUUAUAGUUCACAACUUAAUGAUUAAACAUAGCAACAAAGCAAAAUAGCUAUAACCAUGUUAGAACUUUCCAAAUAAUAUUAACUAAACUACUAUAUGUUUUAUGGUUAUUUAGGCACCAUUAACUCUUGUGAUUUUCUGCUGUGUACUUGGACACUGCACAUGGUGCAUCUAGAUCAAAUCCGCUGGACGACAAUGGACUUCCACUGGAUGCCACAGCGAGAAGUCAAGCCUGGCUGCCUGCUUUUGUUAUUUUUUUUGUGGAGUGUGCAACUUGGAGCGUUUGUUGCAUUGACAAUGAAGUUAUUAAAGCGCAAAACCGCAACCAAACAACCACCUGAGGUUAUUUUUCUUUUUCAGCAACGGAAACAUGUGAUUAGCUUGCACUAGGCACUGGGUGAAGUAAAAAACGUACUCCGCUUGUCGAAAUAGACGUCUUACCAGUUCACUCCAUAAAUCCACCUGAUACUAAACCAACUUUUUAUUAGCGAAAGUAGAAAAUCACUUGGAAUCCCCCCGUCAACACAAUUCAGCGCCGAAAUUGAAGGGCAGCAUGAUGGAUCGCCUUAAUUGGCGAGUUGUUUCGACUUGAGUUGCCCAAUUUGUAGCAAGUAGCUCAAUGGAUUUGUAGAUUGCCUACAUUUUUCCAAUUAGCCAGACAAAAAGUGUUGGCCCAAGCAGAUGGGUUUAGUUAAUCCAAUAUGUGUGUGUAUAGCCACAGGUGUUCAAUGUUCUGCUGACUUAAGAGCCGCCAGUCACGUAAAGAGAUUUCAACGUCUGGAGUUCGCCGGAUGACAUUACUUAUAGGAGUUAAUUGCCAAUUCUGGUUUAACAUCAUCUUAACAUAAUUUGUGAGCUUAAUAAAAUGUUUGAUUUAAGCACUUGAAA